GACGAACGCUGGCGGCGUGCUUAACACAUGCAAGUCGAACGGUGAAGCGCCUUCCUUUUUGGUGGGUGUGGAUGAGUGGCGAACGGGUGAGUAACACGUGAGUAACCUGCCCCCUUCUUCUGGAUAACCGCAUGAAAGUGUGGCUAAUACGGGAUAUUCUGGGUCUGUCGCAUGAUGGGUCUGGGAAAGAUAUUGUUUCGGUGGGGGAUGGGCUCGCGGCCUAUCAGCUUGUUGGUGGGGUGAUGGCCUACCAAGGCGGGGACGGGUAGCCGGCCUGAGAGGGUGGACGGUCACACUGGGACUGAGACACGGCCCAGACUCCUACGGGAGGCAGCAGUGGGGAAUAUUGCACAAUGGGCGCAAGCCUGAUGCAGCGACGCCGCGUGAGGGAUGGAGGCCUUCGGGUUGUGAACCUCUUUCGCCAGUGAAGCAGGCCUGCCUCGUUUGUGGGUGGGUUGACAGUAGCUGGAUAAGAAGCGCCGGCUAACUACGUG
rnacentral:rRNA from 1 species